rnacentral:rRNA from 1 species
UGGGGAAUAUUGGACAAUGGGCGAAAGCCUGAUCCAGCCAUGCCGCGUGUGUGAAGAAGGUCUUCGGAUUGUAAAGCACUUUAAGUUGGGAGGAGGGGCAUUAACCUAAUACGUUAGUGUUUUGACGUUACCGACAGAAUAAGCACCGGCUAACUCUGUGCCAGCAGCCGCGGUAAUACAGAGGGUGCAAGCGUUAAUCGGAAUUACUGGGCGUAAAGCGCGCGUAGGUGGUUUGUUAAGUUGGAUGUGAAAUCCCCGGGCUCAACCUGGGAACUGCAUUCAAAACUGACUGACUAGAGUAUGGUAGAGGGUGGUGGAAUUUCCUGUGUAGCGGUGAAAUGCGUAGAUAUAGGAAGGAACACCAGUGGCGAAGGCGACCACCUGGACUAAUACUGACACUGAGGUGCGAAAGCGUGGGGAGCAAACA